rnacentral:rRNA from 1 species
GGGUUGUGAGGUUAAGCGACUAAGCGUACACGGUGGAUGCCCUGGCAGUCAGAGGCGAUGAAGGACGUGCUAAUCUGCGAUAAGCGUCGGUAAGGUGAUAUGAACCGUUAUAACCGGCGAUUUCCGAAUGGGGAAACCCAGUGUGUUUCGACACACUAUCAUUAACUGAAUCCAUAGGUUAAUGAGGCGAACCGGGGGAACUGAAACAUCUAAGUACCCCGAGGAAAAGAAAUCAACCGAGAUUCCCCCAGUAGCGGCGAGCGAACGGGGAGGAGCCCAGAGCCUGAAUCAGUGUGUGUGUUAGUGGAAGCGUCUGGAAAGGUGCGCGAUACAGGGUGACAGCCCCGUACACAAAAAUGCACAUGCUGUGAGCUCGAUGAGUAGGGCGGGACACGUGGUAUCCUGUCUGAAUAUGGGGGGACCAUCCUCCAAGGCUAAAUACUCCUGACUGACCGAUAGUGAACCAGUACCGUGAGGGAAAGGCGAAAAGAACCCCGGCGAGGGGAGUGAAAAAGAACCUGAAACCGUGUACGUACAAGCAGUGGGAGCACGCUUCGGCGUGUGACUGCGUACCUUUUGUAUAAUGGGUCAGCGACUUAUAUUCUGUAGCAAGGUUAACCGAAUAGGGGAGCCGAAGGGAAACCGAGUCUUAACUGGGCGUUAAGUUGCAGGGUAUAGACCCGAAACCCGGUGAUCUAGCCAUGGGCAGGUUGAAGGUUGGGUAACACUAACUGGAGGACCGAACCGACUAAUGUUGAAAAAUUAGCGGAUGACUUGUGGCUGGGGGUGAAAGGCCAAUCAAACCGGGAGAUAGCUGGUUCUCCCCGAAAGCUAUUUAGGUAGCGCCUCGUGAAUUCAUCUCCGGGGGUAGAGCACUGUUUCGGCAAGGGGGUCAUCCCGACUUACCAACCCGAUGCAAACUGCGAAUACCGGAGAAUGUUAUCACGGGAGACACACGGCGGGUGCUAACGUCCGUCGUGAAGAGGGAAACAACCCAGACCGCCAGCUAAGGUCCCAAAGUCAUGGUUAAGUGGGAAACGAUGUGGGAAGGCCCAGACAGCCAGGAUGUUGGCUUAGAAGCAGCCAUCAUUUAAAGAAAGCGUAAUAGCUCACUGGUCGAGUCGGCCUGCGCGGAAGAUGUAACGGGGCUAAACCAUGCACCGAAGCUGCGGCAGCGACGCUGAUGCGUUGUUGGGUAGGGGAGCGUUCUGUAAGCCUGUGAAGGUGUACUGUGAGGUAUGCUGGAGGUAUCAGAAGUGCGAAUGCUGACAUAAGUAACGAUAAAGCGGGUGAAAAGCCCGCUCGCCGGAAGACCAAGGGUUCCUGUCCAACGUUAAUCGGGGCAGGGUGAGUCGACCCCUAAGGCGAGGCCGAAAGGCGUAGUCGAUGGGAAACAGGUUAAUAUUCCUGUACUUGGUGUUACUGCGAAGGGGGGACGGAGAAGGCUAUGUUGGCCGGGCGACGGUUGUCCCGGUUUAAGCGUGUAGGCUGGUUUUCCAGGCAAAUCCGGAAAAUCAAGGCUGAGGCGUGAUGACGAGGCACUACGGUGCUGAAGCAACAAAUGCCCUGCUUCCAGGAAAAGCCUCUAAGCAUCAGGUAACAUCAAAUCGUACCCCAAACCGACACAGGUGGUCAGGUAGAGAAUACCAAGGCGCUUGAGAGAACUCGGGUGAAGGAACUAGGCAAAAUGGUGCCGUAACUUCGGGAGAAGGCACGCUGAUAUGUAGGUGAGGUCCCUCGCGGAUGGAGCUGAAAUCAGUCGAAGAUACCAGCUGGCUGCAACUGUUUAUUAAAAACACAGCACUGUGCAAACACGAAAGUGGACGUAUACGGUGUGACGCCUGCCCGGUGCCGGAAGGUUAAUUGAUGGGGUUAGCGCAAGCGAAGCUCUUGAUCGAAGCCCCGGUAAACGGCGGCCGUAACUAUAACGGUCCUAAGGUAGCGAAAUUCCUUGUCGGGUAAGUUCCGACCUGCACGAAUGGCGUAAUGAUGGCCAGGCUGUCUCCACCCGAGACUCAGUGAAAUUGAACUCGCUGUGAAGAUGCAGUGUACCCGCGGCAAGACGGAAAGACCCCGUGAACCUUUACUAUAGCUUGACACUGAACAUUGAGCCUUGAUGUGUAGGAUAGGUGGGAGGCUUGGAAGUGUGGACGCCAGUCUGCAUGGAGCCGACCUUGAAAUACCACCCUUUAAUGUUUGAUGUUCUAACGUUGACCCGUAAUCCGGGUUGCGGACAGUGUCUGGUGGGUAGUUUGACUGGGGCGGUCUCCUCCUAAAGAGUAACGGAGGAGCACGAAGGUUGGCUAAUCCUGGUCGGACAUCAGGAGGUUAGUGCAAUGGCAUAAGCCAGCUUGACUGCGAGCGUGACGGCGCGAGCAGGUGCGAAAGCAGGUCAUAGUGAUCCGGUGGUUCUGAAUGGAAGGGCCAUCGCUCAACGGAUAAAAGGUACUCCGGGGAUAACAGGCUGAUACCGCCCAAGAGUUCAUAUCGACGGCGGUGUUUGGCACCUCGAUGUCGGCUCAUCACAUCCUGGGGCUGAAGUAGGUCCCAAGGGUAUGGCUGUUCGCCAUUUAAAGUGGUACGCGAGCUGGGUUUAGAACGUCGUGAGACAGUUCGGUCCCUAUCUGCCGUGGGCGCUGGAGAACUGAGGGGGGCUGCUCCUAGUACGAGAGGACCGGAGUGGACGCAUCACUGGUGUUCGGGUUGUCAUGCCAAUGGCACUGCCCGGUAGCUAAAUGCGGAAGAGAUAAGUGCUGAAAGCAUCUAAGCACGAAACUUGCCCCGAGAUGAGUUCUCCCUGACUCCUUGAGAGUCCUGAAGGAACGUUGAAGACGACGACGUUGAUAGGCCGGGUGUGUAAGCGCAGCGAUGCGUUGAGCUAACCGGUACUAAUGAACCGUGAGGCUUAACCUUACAACGCCGAAGGUGUUU